GGGGGAUUGUACACGGUAACAGAUAAGCAAGUCGUACGCUUCUUUUUCCACCGGAGCUUGCUCCACCGGAAAAAGAAGAGUGCCGAACGGGUGAGUAACACGUGGGUAACCUGCCCAUCAGAAGGGGAUAACACUUGGAAACAGGUGCUAAUACCGUAUAACAAUCGAAACCGCAUGGUUUUGAUUUGAAAGGCGCUUUCGGGUGUCGCUGAUGGAUGGACCCGCGGUGCAUUAGCUAGUUGGUGAGGUAACGGCUCACCAAGGCCACGAUGCAUAGCCGACCUGAGAGGGUGAUCGGCCACAUUGGGACUGAGACACGGCCCAAACUCCUACGGGAGGCAGCAGUAGGGAAUCUUCGGCAAUGGACGAAAGUCUGACCGAGCAACGCCGCGUGAGUGAAGAAGGUUUUCGGAUCGUAAAACUCUGUUGUUAGAGAAGAACAAGGAUGAGAGUAACUGUUCAUCCCUUGACGGUAUCUAACCAGAAAGCCACGGCUAACUACGUGCCAGCAGCCGCGGUAAUACGUAGGUGGCAAGCGUUGUCCGGAUUUAUUGGGCGUAAAGCGAGCGCAGGCGGUUUCUUAAGUCUGAUGUGAAAGCCCCCGGCUCAACCGGGGAGGGUCAUUGGAAACUGGGAGACUUGAGUGCAGAAGAGGAGAGUGGAAUUCCAUGUGUAGCGGUGAAAUGCGUAGAUAUAUGGAGGAACACCAGUGGCGAAGGCGGCUCUCUGGUCUGUAACUGACGCUGAGGCUCGAAAGCGUGGGGAGCAAACAGGAUUAGAUACCCUGGUAGUCCACGCCGUAAACGAUGAGUGCUAAGUGUUGGAGGGUUUCCGCCCUUCAGUGCUGCAGCUAACGCAUUAAGCACUCCGCCUGGGGAGUACGACCGCAAGGUUGAAACUCAAAGGAAUUGACGGGGGCCCGCACAAGCGGUGGAGCAUGUGGUUUAAUUCGAAGCAACGCGAAGAACCUUACCAGGUCUUGACAUCCUUUGACCACUCUAGAGAUAGAGCUUCCCCUUCGGGGGCAAAGUGACAGGUGGUGCAUGGUUGUCGUCAGCUCGUGUCGUGAGAUGUUGGGUUAAGUCCCGCAACGAGCGCAACCCUUAUUGUUAGUUGCCAUCAUUCAGUUGGGCACUCUAGCAAGACUGCCGGUGACAAACCGGAGGAAGGUGGGGAUGACGUCAAAUCAUCAUGCCCCUUAUGACCUGGGCUACACACGUGCUACAAUGGGAAGUACAACGAGUCGCGAAGUCGCGAGGCUAAGCUAAUCUCUUAAAGCUUCUCUCAGUUCGGAUUGUAGGCUGCAACUCGCCUACAUGAAGCCGGAAUCGCUAGUAAUCGCGGAUCAGCACGCCGCGGUGAAUACGUUCCCGGGCCUUGUACACACCAGACCCGUGCACACCACGAGAGUUUGUAACACCCGAAGUCGUGAUGAGGUAACCUUAGGAGCCUGCCUAGAUAUGUCGUCAGCCCCCGUAAA
rnacentral:rRNA from 1 species